rnacentral:lncRNA from 1 species
AAGAAGCCAAGGCAAGUAAAUUUAAGCCAAAUAAUCGUAAUUUCCAGUUUACUGCAAAAACCUGUAUACCUUUUCUCUUCUCGUUGUGGCCUCUCAUAUGUAGGUUUGCUUUGUGAUGAUCUUCGGCUGUUGCCCAUCCUUUUGAGAGAAUUGCGCUAUGUCUGAUGUUAAUAUGGAAUUCUUGGAAAGAUCAAGACCUCCACGUAAUGGGUCCGAAUUGGCAUCCCUUAUAAGCCUGUUGAUGACACUUCAACUCCAACUCAUCUUAUAUCUUCAUUCAAUCUUCAAAAUUGUGUUCAGAUAAAUAGACUUCUUAAUUUGAACAAAGAACGAACGAGAGCAAACUGCUGCUUCCUGAUACUUGAGAUCUCUCAGAAAAAAGUAAAUUUAUUCUGGUUCAGAUUUUCUUUAAACAGGUCCUUGAGGAAUUGACUUUGGUUUUGUUUGCUUUUGGGUUUUGGUUACAUUUUUCCCUUGUUUAGUUUUUUGUUUUGUUGGCUCAAAUUUUUCUUCUUUGUUGCCUUUUUAAAGUAAUGUUUGAUUAGGC